rnacentral:rRNA from 1 species
AUGGAAAAUGAAAGAGGUCUGUGGCAGGAUGUUUUGGAUAGAAAAUAUAGAAAAGGGAGAUGUUUAGCUUUAGUAAGCAAGAAGCCUGGGGAUUCCCAAUUUUGGGCUAGUUUGUUGAAGAUCAAGGAAAUAUUCUAUAGAUUUGUUAAGAAAAAAGUAGGGGAUGGGAGAAAUACUAGGUUCUGGGAAGAUACCUGGGUGGAUGAUAAACCUUUGAAAGAGGCUUACCCUAGGCUGUAUGAUAUAUGCUUUGACCACAACAUUACUGUGGAAGAGGCUAUACAGAAAGGGUGGGGGGGUUCAAAUUUAGAAGAACAUUGCAUGGGGAAACUUUAG